CGACCGCUGGCGGCACGCCUACCACAUGCACGUCGACCGGCCUUAAAAGAGCUUGCUUUUUUAAGUUAGUGGCGGACGGGUGAGUAACACGUGAGCAACCUGCCUCUGAGAGGGGGAUAGCUUCUGGAAACGGAUGGUAAUACCCCAUAAAAUAUAAAUAUCGCAUGAUAGAUAUAUCAAAGAAAUUCGCUCAGAGAUGGGCUCGCGUCUGAUUAGAUAGUUGGUGAGGUAACGGCUCACCAAGUCGACGAUCAGUAGCCGGACUGAGAGGUUGAACGGCCACAUUGGGACUGAGACACGGCCCAGACUCCUACGGGAGGCAGCAGUGGGGAAUAUUGCACAAUGGAGGGAACUCUGAUGCAGCGAUGCCGCGUGGAGGAAGAAGGUUUUCGGAUUGUAAACUCCUUUUAUCAGGGACGAUAAUGACGGUACCUGAAGAAAAAGCUCCGGCUAACUACGUG
rnacentral:rRNA from 1 species